rnacentral:rRNA from 1 species
UACGAAGGGGGCUAGCGUUGUUCGAAUUUACUGGACGUAAAGCGCACGUAGGCGGACUUUUAAGUCAGGGGUGAAAUCCCGGGGCUCAACCCCGGAACUGCCUUUGAUACUGGAAGUCUUGAGUAUGGUAGAGGUGAGUGGAAUUCCGAGUGUAGAGGUGAAAUUCGUAGAUAUUCGGAGGAACACCAGUGGCGAAGGCGGCUCACUGGACCAUUACUGACGCUGAGGUGCGAAAGCGUGGGGAGCAAACAGG